rnacentral:rRNA from 1 species
GAUGAACGCUGGCGGCGUGCCUAAUACAUGCAAGUCGAGCGAACAGACGAGGAGCUUGCUCCUCUGACGUUAGCGGCGGACGGGUGAGUAACACGUGGAUAACCUACCUAUAAGACUGGGAUAACUUCGGGAAACCGGAGCUAAUACCGGAUAAUAUAUUUAACCGCAUGGUUCAAUAGUUAAAUACGGUUUUUCUGUCACUUAUAGAUGGAUCCGCGCCGCAUUAGCUAGUUGGUAAGGUAACGGCUUACCAAGGCAACGAUGCGUAGCCGACCUGAGAGGGUGAUCGGCCACACUGGAACUGAGACACGGUCCAGACUCCUACGGGAGGCAGCAGUAGGGAAUCUUCCGCAAUGGGCGAAAGCCUGACGGAGCAACGCCGCGUGAGUGAUGAAGGUCUUCGGAUCGUAAAACUCUGUUAUUAGGGAAGAACAAAUGUGUAAGUAACUAUGCACGUCUUGACGGUACCUAAUCAGAAAGCCACGGCUAACUACGUG